CAUUCCAUUUCUCCUCAAUCUCGAGCCAAGCUUCCAAUCUUCUCCCUUCUCAAGAGGGAAAUAGUAAGCUAAGGGUUUCGUAUAUCCUCUAUUUUCCUAAGCCGAAUCUAUCUCCAUCCUCCUCAUUUUCGUGCUUUGGAAGGAUUUCACCAAAGGAGUUUAUUUUCAAGUUCAAAGGAAUUCACUAGUAAAGCUCCCAGG